CCUACGGGAGGCAGCAGUGAGGAAUAUUGGUCAAUGGUCGGGAGACUGAACCAGCCAAGCCGCGUGAGGGAUGAAGGUACAGAGUAUCGUAAACCUCUUUUGUCAGGGAACAAAGGCGGGGACGUGUCCCCGGAUGAGUGUACCUGAAGAAAAAGCAUCGGCUAAACCCGUGCCAGCAGCCGCGGUAAUACGGAGGAUGCGAGCGUUAUCCGGAUUUAUUGGGUUUAGAGGGUGCGCAGGCGGUCUGUUAAGUCAGCGGUAAAAGCCCGGGGCGCAACCCCGGCCCGCCGUUGAAACUGGCAGUCUCGAGUGGGAGAGAAGUAUGCGGAAUGCGCGGUGUAGCGGUGAAAUGCAUAGAUAUCGCGCAGAACUCCGAUUGCGAAGGCAGCAUGCCGGCUCCACACUGACGCUGAGGCACGAAAGCGUGGGUAUCGAACAGGAUUAGAUACCCGUGUAGUC
rnacentral:rRNA from 1 species